rnacentral:rRNA from 1 species
CACGUAGGGGGCGAGCGUUGUCCGGAUUUAUUGGGCGUAAAGAGCUCGUAGGCGGUUCGGCAAGUCGGGUGUGAAAUUUCGAGGCUCAACCUCGAAACGCCACUCGAUACUGCUGCGACUGGAGUCCGGUAGAGGAGUGCGGAAUUCCUGGUGUAGCGGUGAAAUGCGCAGAUAUCAGGAAGAACACCAAUGGCGAAAGCAGCUCUCUGGGACGGUACUGACGCUGAGACGCGAAAGCGUGGGGAGCGAACAGG